rnacentral:rRNA from 1 species
GACGAACGCUGGCGGCGUGCUUAACACAUGCAAGUCGAACGAAGUGGCGAACGGGUGAGUAACGCGUAAUCAACCUGCCCUUCAGAGGGGGACAAAAGUUGGAAACGACUGCUAAUACCCCAUACUGAAGGUGGGGAUUGCGUGGGAUUAGCUAGUUGGAGGGGUAACGGCCCACAAAGGCGAAGCUAAGUAGCCGGUCUGGGAGGGUGAACGGCCACAUUGGGACUGGGACACGGGCCAGACUCCUACGGGAGGCAGCAGUGGGGAAUCUUCCGAAAUUGACGAAAGUCUGACGGAGCAACGCCGGGUGAGUGAUGACGGCCUUCGGGGUGUAAAGCUCUGUUAAUCGGGACGCGGUACCGGAAUAGAAAGCCACGGCUAACUACGUGCCAGCAGCCGCGGUAAUUC